UUAAGCGACUAAGCGUACACGGUGGAUGCCCUGGCAGUCAGAGGCGAUGAAGGACGUGCUAAUCUGCGAUAAGCGUCGGUAAGGUGAUAUGAACCGUUAUAACCGGCGAUUUCCGAAUGGGGAAACCCAGUGUGAUUCGUCACACUAUCAUUAACUGAAUCCAUAGGUUAAUGAGGCGAACCGGGGGAACUGAAACAUCUAAGUACCCCGAGGAAAAGAAAUCAACCGAGAUUCCCCCAGUAGCGGCGAGCGAACGGGGAGCAGCCCAGAGCCUGAAUCAGUGUGUGUGUUAGUGGAAGCGUCUGGAAAGGCGCGCGAUACAGGGUGACAGCCCCGUACACAAAAAUGCACAUACUGUGAGCUCGAUGAGUAGGGCGGGACACGUGGUAUCCUGUCUGAAUAUGGGGGGACCAUCCUCCAAGGCUAAAUACUCCUGACUGACCGAUAGUGAACCAGUACCGUGAGGGAAAGGCGAAAAGAACCCCGGCGAGGGGAGUGAAAAAGAACCUGAAACCGUGUACGUACAAGCAGUGGGAGCACAGAGCAAUCUGUGUGACUGCGUACCUUUUGUAUAAUGGGUCAGCGACUUAUAUUCUGUAGCAAGGUUAACCGAAUAGGGGAGCCGAAGGGAAACCGAGUCUUAACUGGGCGUUAAGUUGCAGGGUAUAGACCCGAAACCCGGUGAUCUAGCCAUGGGCAGGUUGAAGGUUGGGUAACACUAACUGGAGGACCGAACCGACUAAUGUUGAAAAAUUAGCGGAUGACUUGUGGCUGGGGGUGAAAGGCCAAUCAAACCGGGAGAUAGCUGGUUCUCCCCGAAAGCUAUUUAGGUAGCGCCUCGUGAAUUCAUCUCCGGGGGUAGAGCACUGUUUCGGCAAGGGGGUCAUCCCGACUUACCAACCCGAUGCAAACUGCGAAUACCGGAGAAUGUUAUCACGGGAGACACACGGCGGGUGCUAACGUCCGUCGUGAAGAGGGAAACAACCCAGACCGCCAGCUAAGGUCCCAAAGUCAUGGUUAAGUGGGAAACGAUGUGGGAAGGCCCAGACAGCCAGGAUGUUGGCUUAGAAGCAGCCAUCAUUUAAAGAAAGCGUAAUAGCUCACUGGUCGAGUCGGCCUGCGCGGAAGAUGUAACGGGGCUAAACCAUGCACCGAAGCUGCGGCAGCGACGCUGAUGCGUUGUUGGGUAGGGGAGCGUUCUGUAAGCCUGUGAAGGUGUACUGUGAGGUAUGCUGGAGGUAUCAGAAGUGCGAAUGCUGACAUAAGUAACGAUAAAGCGGGUGAAAAGCCCGCUCGCCGGAAGACCAAGGGUUCCUGUCCAACGUUAAUCGGGGCAGGGUGAGUCGACCCCUAAGGCGAGGCCGAAAGGCGUAGUCGAUGGGAAACAGGUUAAUAUUCCUGUACUUGGUGUUACUGCGAAGGGGGGACGGAGAAGGCUAUGUUGGCCGGGCGACGGUUGUCCCGGUUUAAGCGUGUAGGCUGGUUUUCCAGGCAAAUCCGGAAAAUCAAGGCUGAGGCGUGAUGACGAGGCACUACGGUGCUGAAGCAACAAAUGCCCUGCUUCCAGGAAAAGCCUCUAAGCAUCAGGUAACAUCAAAUCGUACCCCAAACCGACACAGGUGGUCAGGUAGAGAAUACCAAGGCGCUUGAGAGAACUCGGGUGAAGGAACUAGGCAAAAUGGUGCCGUAACUUCGGGAGAAGGCACGCUGAUAUGUAGGUGAAGUCCCUCGCGGAUGGAGCUGAAAUCAGUCGAAGAUACCAGCUGGCUGCAACUGUUUAUUAAAAACACAGCACUGUGCAAACACGAAAGUGGACGUAUACGGUGUGACGCCUGCCCGGUGCCGGAAGGUUAAUUGAUGGGGUUAGCGCAAGCGAAGCUCUUGAUCGAAGCCCCGGUAAACGGCGGCCGUAACUAUAACGGUCCUAAGGUAGCGAAAUUCCUUGUCGGGUAAGUUCCGACCUGCACGAAUGGCGUAAUGAUGGCCAGGCUGUCUCCACCCGAGACUCAGUGAAAUUGAACUCGCUGUGAAGAUGCAGUGUACCCGCGGCAAGACGGAAAGACCCCGUGAACCUUUACUAUAGCUUGACACUGAACAUUGAGCCUUGAUGUGUAGGAUAGGUGGGAGGCUUUGAAGUGUGGACGCCAGUCUGCAUGGAGCCGACCUUGAAAUACCACCCUUUAAUGUUUGAUGUUCUAACGUUGACCCGUAAUCCGGGUUGCGGACAGUGUCUGGUGGGUAGUUUGACUGGGGCGGUCUCCUCCUAAAGAGUAACGGAGGAGCACGAAGGUUGGCUAAUCCUGGUCGGACAUCAGGAGGUUAGUGCAAUGGCAUAAGCCAGCUUGACUGCGAGCGUGACGGCGCGAGCAGGUGCGAAAGCAGGUCAUAGUGAUCCGGUGGUUCUGAAUGGAAGGGCCAUCGCUCAACGGAUAAAAGGUACUCCGGGGAUAACAGGCUGAUACCGCCCAAGAGUUCAUAUCGACGGCGGUGUUUGGCACCUCGAUGUCGGCUCAUCACAUCCUGGGGCUGAAGUAGGUCCCAAGGGUAUGGCUGUUCGCCAUUUAAAGUGGUACGCGAGCUGGGUUUAGAACGUCGUGAGACAGUUCGGUCCCUAUCUGCCGUGGGCGCUGGAGAAUUGAGGGGGGCUGCUCCUAGUACGAGAGGACCGGAGUGGACGCAUCACUGGUGUUCGGGUUGUCAUGCCAAUGGCACUGCCCGGUAGCUAAAUGCGGAAGAGAUAAGUGCUGAAAGCAUCUAAGCACGAAACUUGCCCCGAGAUGAGUUCUCCCUGACUCCUUGAGAGUCCUGAAGGAACGUUGAAGACGACGACGUUGAUAGGCCGGGUGUGUAAGCGCAGCGAUGCGUUGAGCUAACCGGUACUAAUGAACCGUGAGGCUUAACCUU
rnacentral:rRNA from 1 species